UACGAAGGGUGCAAGCGUUAAUCGGAAUUACUGGGCGUAAAGGGUGCGUAGGCGGUUCGUUAAGUCUGUCGUGAAAUCCCCGGGCUCAACCUGGGAAUGGCGAUGGAUACUGGCGAGCUAGAGUGUGUCAGAGGAUGGUGGAAUUCCCGGUGUAGCGGUGAAAUGCGUAGAGAUCGGGAGGAACAUCAGUGACGAAGGCGGCCAUCUGGGACAACACUGACGCUGAAGCACGAAAGCGUGGGGAGCAAACAGG
rnacentral:rRNA from 1 species